ACGGGGAUAGUAUAGCCUGGUUAGUAUCGGAGACUGUGGAUCUCUGGACGGGAGUUCAAAUCUCCCUCCUCGUC
rnacentral:tRNA from 1 species